rnacentral:sRNA from 1 species
GCAUUGGAUCGACCUGCCCUCGAGGUAG